GACGAACGCUGGCGGCGUGCCUAAUACAUGCAAGUCGAGCGAGCGGAACUAACAGAUUUACUUCGGUAAUGACGUUAGGAAAGCGAGCGGCGGAUGGGUGAGUAACACGUGGGGAACCUGCCCCAUAGUCUGGGAUACCACUUGGAAACAGGUGCUAAUACCGGAUAAGAAAGCAGAUCGCAUGAUCAGCUUUUAAAAGGCGGCGUAAGCUGUCGCUAUGGGAUGGCCCCGCGGUGCAUUAGCUAGUUGGUAAGGUAAAGGCUUACCAAGGCGAUGAUGCAUAGCCGAGUUGAGAGACUGAUCGGCCACAUUGGGACUGAAACACGGCCCAAACUCCUACGGGAGGCAGCAGUAGGGAAUCUUCCACAAUGGACGCAAGUCUGAUGGAGCAACGCCGCGUGAGUGAAGAAGGUUUUCGGAUCGUAAAGCUCUGUUGUUGGUGAAGAAGGAUAGAGGUAGUAACUGGCCUUUAUUUGACGGUAAUCCACCAGAAAGUCACGACUAACUACGUGCCAGCAGCCGCGGUAAUACGUAGGUGGCAAGCGUUGUCCGGAUUUAUUGGGCGUAAAGCGAGCGCAGGCGGAAGAUAAGUCUGAUGUGAAAGCCCUCGGCUUACGGAGGAACUGCAUCGGAAACUGUUUUUCUUGAGUGCAUAAGAGGAGAGUGGAACUCCAUGUGUAGCGGUGGAAUGCGUAGAUAUAUGGAAGAACACCAGUGGCGAAGGCGGCUCUCUGGUCUGCAACUGACGCUGAGGCUCGAAAGCAUGGGUAGCGAACAGGAUUAGAUACCCUGGUAGUCCAUGCCGUAAACGAUGAGUGCUAAGUGCUGGGAGGUUUCCGCCUCUCAGUGCUGCAGCUAACGCAUUAAGCACUCCGCCUGGGGAGUACGACCGCAAGGUUGAAACUCAAAGGAAUUGACGGGGGCCCGCACAAGCGGUGGAGCAUGUGGUUUAAUUCGAAGCAACGCGAAGAACCUUACCAGGUCUUGACAUCUAGUGCCAUUUGUAGAGAUACAAAGUUCCCUUCGGGGACGCUAAGACAGGUGGUGCAUGGCUGUCGUCAGCUCGUGUCGUGAGAUGUUGGGUUAAGUCCCGCAACGAGCGCAACCCUUGUUAUUAGUUGCCAGCAUUAAGUUGGGCACUCUAAUGAGACUGCCGGUGACAAACCGGAGGAAGGUGGGGAUGACGUCAAGUCAUCAUGCCCCUUAUGACCUGGGCUACACACGUGCUACAAUGGGCAGUACAACGAGAAGCGAGCCUGCGAAGGCAAGCGAAUCUCUGAAAGCUGUUCUCAGUUCGGACUGCAGUCUGCAACUCGACUGCACGAAGCUGGAAUCGCUAGUAAUCGCGGAUCAGCACGCCGCGGUGAAUACGUUCCCGGGCCU
rnacentral:rRNA from 1 species